UAGGGAAUCUUCCGCAAUGGGCGAAAGCUUGACGGAGCAACGCCGCGUGAGUGAUGAAGGUCUUCGGAUCGUAAAACUCUGUUAUUAGGGAAGAACAAAUGUGUAAGUAACUAUGCACGUCUUGACGGUACCUAAUCAGAAAGCCACGGCUAACUACGUGCCAGCAGCCGCGGUAAUACGUAGGUGGCAAGCGUUAUCCGGAAUUAUUGGGCGUAAAGCGCGCGUAGGCGGUUUUUUAAGUCUGAUGUGAAAGCCCACGGCUCAACCGUGGAGGGUCAUUGGAAACUGGAAAACUUGAGUCCAGAAGAGGAAAGUGGAAUUCCAGGUGUAGCGGUGAAAUGCGCAGAGAUAUGGAGGAACACCAGUGGCGAAGGCGACUUUCUGGUCUGUAACUGACGCUGAUGUGCGAAAGCGUGGGGAUCAAACAGG
rnacentral:rRNA from 1 species